CGGAGGGAGGGCCAAUUAGUGCGGGAGACGCGGCGCGUCCGCGGUGCCCGCGCUGACCGCAGCCCCCGCAGCGCCGCCGCCGCCGCCGCUCUCCGGGCCCGGGCAGACAGCGCCGGCGGCCUGGGAGCCCCGGGGGACCCGCCGUCCCGCCUCCCGCUAGCGGCGGUGAUGGAUCCAGUCGCCUGGCGCGGGGCCAGAGCCCGGGCGGACGCGAGGGCGCCAGGAGCUGAAAGUCGCCGCCGUGGGGGCGCAAGCCCCUGCCUCUCUGGGCCUGCUUCUCCUCAUCUGUGCAUCUGGGAACAAUCCCAGUGGGACCCUACUCCAGCCCCAGUCUCCUCCAGCUGUGGUCCAGGACUUAUCCAUUCCCAGCUUUUAGCCACAGGUGCUGGUGGAAUAGCAUGCCAGUGACCUCACCAAGGAGCCACUGCAUUAUGGAUCUACUGUUAAGGAGCAAGAACCCUUUUGAGGGGGAACCUGAAGGUGGAAGAAAAGCCGUUCCGGAAAUUAGCAUCAGUGGCAGAAAAAUUCAUUAAAAGCUGGUGGAGACACCUGUGGCGGAUUUAUGUCUCUUAACUAAGGAGCAGCUCUUCUGGCCUGGAGGAAGGACUGUGGCUUCCAGGUCCUUUCAGAGACCCCGGGCCCAAGACUCUAAAACUCUGGCUCUGUUGCUGGGCCUCUCAGCAUCUGCCAGAACACCACCGUCAGUUUGCUACUCCCGAAACAUGGAACUCUGCUGUGCUAGGAAAGGCCACUGAUGGGCAGGGAUCUUGAGUUUUAAUACAACUGUUCCUCUGCUGUGUGACCUCAGACAUUCAGUUGGCCUCUCUGAUCCUCCCUGCCAGGAGAAAUCCUAACUGCCUAGCUUCCAGGCGACCAAUCCACCUACAAUACUCAGCACAUCUGGGAAAAGAAUAAUUUUCUCAAAGAAGGAGGAUACCCAAACAGCUCUUGGUAGUGGGAAUCUAAUGUGAAAAGCCGGGAAACAGCCAGGAACCCAUUGUCCCAGGCGGCACAGGCCUCCCUCCCACAGUGUCCAGAGGGAAGGAGGACUGGUGAGGAGGCUAUGGGCUAGUGAUUCUGUCUGCCUAUUUGCAAGACGAUAUUACAGCAUGAUGGGAAACCCUGCCUGCUAGGAUGGUUUAGAGCUUGGAAAAUUUGGGGAAGAAUCCAAGAACAGGACAUGGUGUCGAGGCAUCAUCAGCACGGAGACAAAAGGAGAGAAGUCCCCUAGACUCGUCUGUUUCCCAUCACCAGCCAGAAACUUGGAGAGCAGGGGAGGAGAAGAGGAGCAGUCCCAAAUAACCCUCGAAGACUGGUCAGCCAGGCCUCCUGACCCCAGUCUGGCCCUCUUCCCAGAUUCAAGGCUCGGUCGCCAUCCCCAGGCACCCAGACAAAACCCCUCCGCCUCCCAUGACAAAGAGGCUCAUUUGGAGCCUGGGCAAGAUUUGCAAACGUCAAACUUGUAAUUACAAGGAUGAAAUCAUCUGGUUCCUUUUAAGCAAACGGGUUUAUUGAUCCCAACACUGAAGAAAUGCUAUUCUAGGGAAACUUGCUCCUCUCGGUUUUCCUCUCCCUCUGGGAUGGCUGAGCUGGUGGGGGAGGGUGGUAGGGGAGCUAAGAAGGGGGAGAACCUCCUGGGAGGGGAAAUUCUUAAGGGCCUAGGGGUGAAUUUUAUGGUGUAGAUAAAUUAUAUCUCAAAAAAGAAUUCUUUAGGGCCCAGGAAACAGCUUAAUUUGGCAGAUGACACCCUCAUUCUGGACUUAGGCCCAUCUCCAUCCCCAAGCUAGAAGCUAGGUAGAGCUGGGGCUUUAGGAGCUGUGCCAGCCAUUAAUUUCCCUUCUCUCCCACCACCAUCAAGUCUCAUUUGUGGCUCCAGAUCCUAUUUCAGCUUCAAGAUGGCACAAUAUUUCCUCAGUAACUGGAGGGAAACUGUUUCCUUAGAAAAAAAAAACACACUAGAGGCUCAGGGGCCUGGGAAGACCUCACCCUCUCUAUGAGGAGAGGCAGGUGUGGGGAGCGGCUGACACCAGACCUGGAUAAAGCCAUCCUUUCUGCCGGACUUAAGGAGGCAGGAUGUCUAGGCCUUGACCUUCCAAGCCAAGGAAGGACAAACAGCUGGGCUCAGGGGACAGGAAUGCACAACCGUCAAGGUCAAGAAACACAUCCUGCCACAAGGCCCACAAUAGGAUCCCUUCAUUCAGCCCGUUGGGGACCCUUUGGGAGCAUGAUCGGGUGCUCCAGGAGGAAUGACCCCAGUUGCAACUGUCCAACAGUUUGCAGUUCAGCUAGAGAGACGAGCAGCACUUUUGGCAGCUCUACCAGCGGAUGUCUUAGGGUGGAACAGUUAAGAGCAGAGCCCUGGGAUUGCCAGCCCUUCCGAGCCUCAGUUCCUUCAUCUGUAGAAUAGGGUCAAUCAUACCAAAAUGCAGGGUUAUGGUGAAGAGUGAAUGAAGAUGAUCUAAACCAAUGCCAUUUUGUUAUCUCUAAUGAGUCAAGGUCUUGUCACCGUCCUAUGUUCACUUAUUUGUUGUUUCAGAGUCUCUAUUUCCUCAUCUGUCCGAUUAGGACAAGAAAACUUGUCUUAGAAAGUGGUUCUCUGAAUUAACUGAGAUAAGGGACAUAAAAGCACCCAACUCACAGCUUCACAGUUGAGCCGAACAAUUGAGAGUUCUCAUCCCCUGCUCAGUGUUACUGUGCAUUCUCUGCGCACCCAUUCAAGAUCAGUCAGGGAGUCCUGUAGGAGCAGCUGCCCACCCAGGAAGAUAAGAAAGAAGAGGCCCUGGGCUGGCUGAAUACUUAGGAAAGGAAGGCUCCAAAUGGCAGGGCUUCAGAGAGAAUUGGCCAGGUUUUUGGAGUGGGAAGGGUGUUUCUAGGCAAAGAACAGAUACCCACAGGCUUCCAUCUAUGGACCGACCCUGCUAGAGCUGGCUCUUUGCAAACCCCUCCAUAGGGUGGUGCCUGGACCAAUCCAUACCCAGCCAGACAGAAACACAGGGUUAAAUACACCUGACAAGUGUGAACUUUUCCUUUAUUAAUUUCUUUUCAUCUCAUUUUUAAAGUAAGUGAAAAAACUUUCACAACAACAACAAAAAAGGCAUACAGAGGUCAGCCGAGGAGAUGGCCUCCUCCAGCCUGCGGCCGGUUUCCCAGUCGUCCUGGCUGGUUGGACGCCAGACAAUGCCCAGUGGGUUAUCCUGUGGCCUGGAGUUGCCAAAGGCUGUCUGUGGUGCUGCUGUUCUGGAUUUGCCUGGCAGGCUUUCUCAUCCCUUUCCCUCAGGACAUCAUUCCCCGCCCCCAUGAGGCUGACAAUUCAUGUGCUCUGCCCUGCUCUGUACUCCCACCCCUCCGCCAAGAUCGGCUGCAGGUCCAUGAACCCUACCCGGACCCGCUGGAGUAAGAGUGCUGCCGUGUGGAUCAUUCUUUAAAGACAGAAAUGGAAAAUUUUAUACUAAUGCCUGUCUAAACAGAAUAUGGUGGUGCCAAAUGGUGUGACAUGGGAUAUACUCUCUUCCUACCAUGGAGGCGACCGUCAGGAACUCUGCUCCCCUGACCAGUGGCCUUCAGAUGGUCCUGUUGACUGUCUGAAGGCCACAUCGUUCUCCUCUCAUUUAGACAAUGGCUGCAUUGUCCUAGUGUCCAAAGGUCUUGGCUGGACUGGGGAAGACUUAAAGUAGACACAGCAGAUGGAUGAAAGUUUCUGUUCCUUGUGAGGGACUUAGUUCUGCCUUGGUGCCUUGGGGUGAAUGCUGCCUCACCCACCUCUCAACAUAAGUUGCAGAUGUUUUAAGGCUGGUUUUGCCUGCGCUUUGCCUGUGCUGAUUUGGAGUUUCCCUCUCCAGUUUCAUCAGAACCCUUAGGCAGCAAAAUAAAGAUGGUAUCCUUUGCCAGAUGUAGCUGAUAGAAACUGCUCAAUGGACCCACAAUGCACUCUCAUUCCCCCCUUUUGGAGAAACUGCUCUUCCCCUCUUUCAAUCCAUCAGGUUCUAUCUGAGGCUGCCUAUCCCAGGCCCCCCAACCCCUGGUGGGAGAGCAUGUGACAUAAGCUGGCCCAUGUCAUCAUAUCAGCCUGGACAUGGUGAUUUGAUAGAGGGAAGAGUAUGUGAUCCAGACUGGGCCAAUCAAAGUCCUUCCCAGAAAUUUUAUGACUUAGAGAUGGAGAAGUGGCUGCUCCCAUCCUUUGCCAGGAAAUGGCUGCCAAUGAAGAAAGCUUGAGAAAGUUAAGCAGUGAGAAGAAAUGGAGAAAUGGAAAAGAAAAGGAGACUAUCCCUCCUUCUGUUUCAUUUAUUUACUUACAAUAAAACAGGCCCCUUUCUACCUUUAAGUUUGCUUGAAUUGGGUUUCUGUCACUUGCAAUUGAAAGAGACCUGGGCGGCGGGGAGGGGCGCCUGGGUGGCUCAGUUGAUUAAGCAACUGCCUUCGGCUCAGGUCAUGAUGCCAGGGUCCUGGGAUCCAGCCGGCAUCAGGCUCCCAGCUCAGCGGGGAGUCUGCUUCUCCCUCUGACCCUCUCCCCUCUCAUGCUCUCUCUCAC